UGAGGAAUAUUGGUCAAUGGGCGCAAGCCUGAACCAGCCAUCCCGCGUGCAGGAAGACGGCGCUAUGCGUUGUAAACUGCUCUUCCAAGGGGAGAAACUUGCGCACGUGUUGCGCAAUUGACGGUACCCUGGGAAUAAGCAUCGGCUAACUCCGUGCCAGCAGUCGCGGUAAUACGGAGGAUGCGAGCGUUAUCCGGAUUCAUUGGGUUUAAAGGGUGCGUAGGCGGACUAUUAAGUCAGUGGUGAAAUCCUGCAGCUUAACUGCAGAACUGCCAUUGAUACUGAUAGCCUUGAGUUUGGUUAAGGUAGGCGGAAUGUGUAAUGUAGCGGUGAAAUGCUUAGAUAUUACACAGAACACCAAUUGCGUAGGCAGCUUACUGAGCCGACACUGACGCUGAGGCACGAAAGCGUGGGGAUCGAACAG
rnacentral:rRNA from 1 species